CAAUAGCGUAUAUUAAAGUUGUUGCGGUUAAAAAGCUCGUAGUUGGAUUUCUGUUGAGGGCAGCCGGUCCGCACUCGGUGCGUGUAGCUGGUUUGACCUCGGCAUCCUCUCAAAAUACGUUUCUGCGCUUGAUUGCGUGGAGCGGAGUUUGAGACUUUUACUUUGAGGAAAUUAGAGUGUUCACGGCAGGCAAUCGCCUUGAAUAUAUUAGCAUGGAAUAAUAAUAUAGGAUCUUGGUUCUAUUUUGUUGGUUUCUAGAGCUAAGAUAAUGAUUAAUAGGGACAAUUGGGGGCAUUCGUAUUAACGCGUCAGAGGUGGAAUUCUUGGAUUGCGUUACGACGAACUACUGCGAAAGCAUUUGCCAAGGAUGUUUUCAUUGA
rnacentral:rRNA from 1 species